AGUGAACGCUGGCGGCAGGCCUAACACAUGCAAGUCGAACGGCAGCACAAGAGAGCUUGCUCUCUGGGUGGCGAGUGGCGGACGGGUGAGGAAUGCAUCGGAAUCUGCCCAUUUGUGGGGGAUAACCUCGGGAAACCGGGGCUAAUACCGCAUACGACCUACGGGUGAAAGCAGGGGAUCUUCGGACCUUGCGCAGAUGGAUGAGCCGAUGCCGGAUUAGCUAGUUGGGGGGGUAAAGGCCCACCAAGGCGACGAUCCGUAGCUGGUCUGAGAGGAUGAUCAGCCACACUGGGACUGAGACACGGCCCAGACUCCUACGGGAGGCAGCAGUGGGGAAUAUUGGACAAUGGGCGCAAGCCUGAUCCAGCCAUGCCGCGUGUGUGAAGAAGGCCUUCGGGUUGUAAAGCACUUUUGUUGGGAAAGAAAAGCAGCCGGUUAAUACCCGGUUGUCAUGACGGUACCCAAAGAAUAAGCACCGGCUAACUUCGUG
rnacentral:rRNA from 1 species